UUCUGAUGUAUUCCUACCAGUACACCAAUCUCUUUUGAUCUUGGAAGCUAAGCAGAAGCAGGCCUGAUUAGUACUUGGGUGGGUGACAAUCAAGGAUCUCUAGGUAAGGUUAGGAA
rnacentral:rRNA from 1 species